AGAGUUUGAUCCUGGCUCAGGACGAACGCUGGCGGCGUGCCUAACACAUGCAAGUCGAACGGAGUUGAAAGGAGCUUGCUUUUUUCAACUCAGUGGCGGACGGGUGAGUAACGCGUGAGUAACCUGCCUUUCAGAGGGGGAUAACGUUCUGAAAAGAACGCUAAUACCGCAUAAGAUUGUAGCUUCGCAUGGAGCAGCAAUCAAAGGAGCAAUCCGCUGAAAGAUGGACUCGCGUCCGAUUAGAUAGUUGGCGGGGUAACGGCCCACCAAGUCGACGAUCGGUAGCCGGACUGAGAGGUUGAUCGGCCACAUUGGGACUGAGACACGGCCCAGACUCCUACGGGAGGCAGCAGUGGGGAAUAUUGCACAAUGGAGGAAACUCUGAUGCAGCGAUGCCGCGUGAGGGAAGAAGGUUUUCGGAUUGUAAACCUCUGUCUUCAGGGACGAUAAUGACGGUACCUGAGGAGGAAGCUCCGGCUAACUACGUGCCAGCAGCCGCGGUAAUACGUAGGGAGCAAGCGUUGUCCGGAUUUACUGGGUGUAAAGGGUGCGUAGGCGGAUUGGCAAGUCAGAAGUGAAAUCCAUGGGCUUAACCCAUGAACUGCUUUUGAAACUGUUAGUCUUGAGUGAAGUAGAGGUAGGCGGAAUUCCCGGUGUAGCGGUGAAAUGCGUAGAGAUCGGGAGGAACACCAGUGGCGAAGGCGGCCUACUGGGCUUUAACUGACGCUGAGGCACGAAAGUGUGGGUAGCAAACAGGAUUAGAUACCCUGGUAGUCCACACUGUAAACGAUGAUUACUAGGUGUUGGAGGAUUGACCCCUUCAGUGCCGCAGUUAACACAAUAAGUAAUCCACCUGGGGAGUACGACCGCAAGGUUGAAACUCAAAGGAAUUGACGGGGGCCCGCACAAGCAGUGGAGUAUGUGGUUUAAUUCGA
rnacentral:rRNA from 1 species